GCCAUGGUGGCACAACCUGGUACUUUACAGGGCCGCAAGGCGUGCCCAAAAGCUGGAAACUGCGCAGGAUUGCUAAUCCUGUUUCCGCAAGGAUUCCCCGGUUCAAAUCCGGGCCAUGGCG
rnacentral:tRNA from 1 species